rnacentral:lncRNA from 1 species
CUCCAGCCGGGGGCGGGGCCCGGGGGGCACUGAAAACCCCCCAGGUCCCCUCAGUGCCCCACACACCUGAGACCCCCCCCCACGGGACCCCCAUGGCACCUCCACCGCCCCCCGGCCACCUCAGCCUGGCCCGCGGGGUCCAGGUGAGAGGGGACCCCGGUUCUGAGGGGAGCUCGGGGGGCCGCGAGCAUCCGGGGCGGGGUGGGGGCCCGAGGGCGGCCGCGGCACUUCCUGCCCCCGGAAAGGGGAAGUGAAAGAAGGGACCCGGACGGUCGGGGGGGGACCCCAAGAGCUCGGGGAGCGCCGAAAGGUUGGGGGGACGCGGGAGCUCCGGCCGCCCCCGUUUGGGGGGCUGCAGGUGACCUCCCCGUGCUUCCCCAGCCCCCCCUGUACCAGGACGCCGUUGCCCGCCGGGCUCUGCGGCCCGCGCUGCUCAGGAGCGUUUCGGUGCCGGCCGAGCCCCCCGCGCCCCCCGCCAUGGAUGUCACCUACGCCGUGGUCAACAAGCCCCGCCGAGGGGGCGGGGCCGCGGGGAGAGGCCCCUCCCCUUUAAGACGAGAUCACGCCCCCUUCGGACGAGACUCCGCCCCCUCGGGCACGUGCUCGCUGCCGGGCAGCCCCGUGCGCCGCCCCUCCCCCAGCCCGGCAGGCUCCCCCAGACCCUCGGAUGGCGCCUACGAGGUUGUGACCCCCCCUGUGGACACCGGCAGUGGCCCCUGCCUGGGGUUUAAUUUCCGCAUUGGGAAGCCCAAGGGCCCGCGGGACCCCCCGGCCGAGUGGUCCCAGGUGUGAGGAGGGGUCCGGAUCCUUGAGCCCCCCCCACAGAGGAGGGGCUGCAGCAGAACCCGGCUGAUCCUUACAGAAACCGAUAUAGACAAAAACGAUUUAUUAUCACAAAUAAAAACUGAUGGUGAGAAUCCUGGCCGUGCCUG